UACGUAGGUGGCAAGCGUUGUCCGGAAUUACUGGGCGUAAAGCGCGUGUAGGCGGCCCUGCAAGUCGGGUGUGAAAUCCCACGGCUCAACCGUGGAAGUGCACUCGAAACUGCAGGGCUAGAGUCCUGGAGAGGAAGGUGGAAUGCUUGGUGUAGAGGUGAAAUUCGUAGAUAUCAAGCGGAACACCGGUGGCGAAGGCGGCCUUCUGGACAGUGACUGACGCUGAGACGCGAAAGCGUGGGGAGCAAACAGG
rnacentral:rRNA from 1 species